rnacentral:rRNA from 1 species
AUGGAACUGACAAGAGUCCUUUGGCUAGCGUUUGUUCCUAUUUUCAUCACAAUCGUCGUGUCGAUCAUGAUGGCCCGCCGACGAACCUUCUCUCCAACAACAACAACCAAACGAUCGCCUCCUCCGCCGCCCAUGGCCGCAGGGGCUCCCCUUCUGGGGAUCCUCCCGGCGCUUCUCGCCAAGGGCCCGCUGCAAGUGAUCCAUGACGCCCACGCGGACAUGGGGAGCGUGUUCACGGUGGGACUGCUGCAUCGCAAGGUGACCUUCCUGGUUGGGCCGGACGUGUCGAGCCAUUUCUACCAAGGGCUGGACUCGGAGAUCAGCCAGGACGAGGUCUCCCGGUUCACCAUUCCGACCUUCGGCCCCGGCGUCGGCUUCGACGUCGACUUGGCCACUCGGCGCGAGCAGUUCCGGUUCUUCGGCGACGCGAUGAAGCCGGCAAAACUCAGGACCUAUGCUGGCCUCAUGGUACGCGAAGUAGAGGAGUACUUUGGGAGCUGGGGGCAGUCUGGCACGGUUGACUUGAAGAAGGACCUAGAGCACCUCGUCACGCUCGUGGCCAGCCGGUGCUUGUUUGGGGAGGAGGUCCGGGCCAAGAUGCUGGCCGAGGUCGCAACGCACCUCCGUGAACUCAACGACGGCAUGCGCCUCGUCACCAUCCUCUUCCCGCACCUGCCGAUCCCAGCGCACCACAGACGCGACAGGGCGCGCGCUAGGCUCGGCGAGAUAUUCUCCGACAUCAUCAGCUCCCGAAGAGCAAGCUACCCUGACGGUAGUGCCCGGAACGUCAAUGACGACAUGUUGCAGUGGCUGGUCGGUUCCAGGUACAAAGACGGCCGCGCCACCACCGAGGCCGAGGUCGUCGGCAUGCUGGUCUCGGCGUUGUUCGCGGGGCAGCACACAAGCUCCAGCACGGGCACGUGGACCGGGGCGCGCCUCCUCGCGCGCACCAACGCCGAGCACCUGCGCGCCGCCGUCCGGGAGCAGGAGCGGAUCGUGGCACGCCACGGGGACCGCGUCGACUACGAGGUCCUGCAGGAGAUGGACACCCUCCACCGCAGCGUCAAGGAGGCUCUGCGGCUCCACCCGCCGGCGAUGCUGCUGCUGCGCCACGCGCGCCGCAGCUUCACCGUGCGGACGAGGGAGGGCGACGAGUACGAGGUCCCGGAGGGGCGUACAGUCGCGAGCCCGCUGGUGCUCCACAACCGCCUCCCGCACAUCUACAGGGACCCGGAGAGAUAUGAGCCGGGCCGGUUCGGCCCCGGCGGAGGGGAGGACGGGGCCGGCGGAGCAUUGUCGUACACGGCGUUCGGUGGCGGGCGGCACGCCUGCGUCGGCGAGGCGUUCGCCUACAUGCAGAUCAAGGUGAUAUGGAGCCACCUGCUGAGGAACUUUGAGAUGGAGAUGGUGUCGCCGUUCCCCGAGACGAACUGGAACGUGGUCAUGCCGGUGCCCAAGGGGAAGGUCAUGGUCUGCUACAACAGAAGGAGCAUGUCACCGGCCGCCUAA